AGCGAACGCUGGCGGCAGGCCUAACACAUGCAAGUCGAACGAACCUUUCGGGGUUAGUGGCGGACGGGUGAGUAACACGUGGGAACGUGCCCUUAGGUUCGGAAUAACUCAGGGAAACUUGUGCUAAUACCGAAUGUGCUCUUCGGGGGAAAGAUUUAUCGCCUUUAGAGCGGCCCGCGUCUGAUUAGCUAGUUGGUUGAGGUAAUGGCUCACCAAGGCGACGAUCAGUAGCUGGUCUGAGAGGAUGAUCAGCCACAUUGGGACUGAGACACGGCCCAAACUCCUACGGGAGGCAGCAGUGGGGAAUCUUGCGCAAUGGGCGAAAGCCUGACGCAGCCAUGCCGCGUGAAUGAUGAAGGUCUUAGGAUUGUAAAAUUCUUUCACCGGGGACGAUAAUGACGGUACCCGGAGAAGAAGCCCCGGCUAACUUCGUG
rnacentral:rRNA from 1 species